CUGUCAUACGUUAAUUAGAUCAGCUACAGUCAGCUGUGACAAUGGAGGAGGGGAAAGGAAAUAAACAAAGACAUUGGCAAGAAGGAUUCCUAUGUAUUAAGAUAUUUGUCAUAGUAACUAUUAUCAUGAUGUGGAAAAGCUUGUGCUCAAACGUAUUCAUACUGCAAAUUGUAUAACAUUUAUUAUUCAGGCCAUACAUACUUAAAAUACAAAUUACACUUUGGUUUUUAGGAAAGAAAUACUGCAAUCAAACAAAUGGGUGACAUUACCUACCAUCCUGCUACUGAGAUAUACAAUAGGGGAGAGUAAGGAUACUUGUUACGGAGAAGACACGUUACAAUGCCAAUAACUUUAAAAUGUAAUGUUAUCUAAGAACACUUUUUUUAUACAAUUGAAUGUCUUCCUUUCUUUAUCAAAUCAACAUAAAACCUGGUUUGCCUAAUUCUUACAGUUUAGAGAUUUUUGAUAUUGAAACUUUUGACACAAAAGGUAAAUAUUUUAGGUUACUAUUUUUGAGAUUUAUUUCUAUUAUAAAACAUGAGUUUUUAACUUUAUUUUUAUUAAAUGUCAUAGUCUAAUAUAUUGUUCAA
rnacentral:lncRNA from 1 species